AAACUAACAAGGAUUCCCCUAGUAACGGCGAGUGAAGAGGGAAGAGCCCAAGAUUGAAAGCUGGCGCCUUCGGCGUCCGCAUUGUAAUCUCAAGAAGCGUUUUCCGCUUCGGACCAUGCCUAAGUCCCUUGGAAAAGGGCAUCAUAGAGGGUGAUAAUCCCGUACAUGGCAUGGAGCGCCCGAAGCUUUGUGAUACGCUUUCUAAGAGUCGAGUUGUUUGGGAAUGCAGCUCAAAAUGGGUGGUAAAUGCCAUCUAAGGCUAAAUAUUGGGGAGAGACCGAUAGCGAACAAGUACAGUGAUGGAAAGAUGAAAAGAACUUUGAAAAGAGAGUUAAACAGUACGUGAAAUUGCCAAAAGGGAAGGGUAGGAGGUCAGAGAUGCGUCGCAGGAUUCAGCCUUGCUUUUGCUUGGUGUUUUUCCUGCGUUGCAGGCCAACGUCGGUUUUGGGCACUGGAGAAGGGUAGGAGGAACGUGGCACCUCUCGGGGUGUGUUAUAGCCUCCUACUGGAUACAGCGACCGAGACCGAGGAACGCAGCGUACUCGUAAGAGCGGGCCUUUUGGCACCUUUACGCUUAGGGCGUUGGCAUAAUGGCCCUCUACCACCCGUCUU
rnacentral:rRNA from 1 species